rnacentral:rRNA from 1 species
GAUGAACGCUGGCGGCGUGCCUAAUACAUGCAAGUCGAGCGAACAGACGAGGAGCUUGCUCCUCUGACGUUAGCGGCGGACGGGUGAGUAACACGUGGAUAACCUACCUAUAAGACUGGGAUAACUUCGGGAAACCGGAGCUAAUACCGGAUAAUAUAUUGAACCGCAUGGUUCAAUAGUGAAAGACGGUUUUGCUGUCACUUAUAGAUGGAUCCGCGCCGCAUUAGCUAGUUGGUAAGGUAACGGCUUACCAAGGCGACGAUGCGUAGCCGACCUGAGAGGGUGAUCGGCCACACUGGAACUGAGACACGGUCCAGACUCCUACGGGAGGCAGCAGUAGGGAAUCUGCCGCAAUGGGCGAAAGCCUGACGGAGCAACGCCGCGUGAGUGAUGAAGGUCUUCGGAUCGUAAAACUCUGUUAUUAGGGAAGAACAAAUGUGUAAGGAACUAUGCACGUCUUGACGGUACCUAAUCAGAAAGCCACGGCUAACUACGUG